UUUAGAAUUAUUAUUAUGUACAAUGGAGAAACUAAACAUUGAAUUACUUUUACAUGUAUUGCAUGAUUAUAAACGUCCAAGACUACCUGCUCCUCUGUCCUACUAUCAACACAUUUUUAGACCAGAUGUGACUUAACCAAAGAUUUUUGGUAUCCAUUACUGCGAGUUACAGAUUUGCCUAUAAAAAACGUUGCCAGAGGUUUUUCCAACUAACCUGGUAUUGAUUGAGAUAAACGGGUCCACCCCAAAGUGUCGCAUGUCAUGAUGACAUUCGUGUCUCGAUCAGUGAGAGAAGAUUUGAAAUAGACAAGAUGGCGACGUACACAUUGUUAGAUUACUUCAUGGAGAGAAGCAUUUACUCAUUUUAACAAUGAAGCAUUUUAGAAAUUCCAAACGCACCACUUGCAACUGGACAUUUAUGUAGAUACAUGUUUUGUCGAAUCGAGAACGAGGAUAGUGUCGCCAAUAUCAGUCUGCACAUUGGACAAACUGUCAAUGCCAAUUGGAGACUACCCCACUGGAAUAAGAGGUCAACCACCUCCGUACUCAACUGCCUGUCUCUGCCACCUCAGAAAAAGCAGUGUCUUGCACACACCAAGGCAAAUAAACCAGUCAAGAUCCAGGUGGGAAACUGCUGGCAGACCAUGCUAGGGCUGCCCAAAACAGAACAAAGUAACAAAGAAAGUAGUUUUAGGCCUAUCUUAAAAUACUUGUCAAAGCUAUGUAGCCAAAGCUAUGAUAUUAGACAGCGUAUUCUUUUAUCAAAUAUCUAUUUUCAUAGCGUUAAUAGUUUUGACUGUAAUAAUACUCUUGUGUGUUUUUAAUUUGAAGUGUGCUUGAUGUAUCUGACACCACAAAUUAAGUUCCCUCUGGGAAAAUAAAGUUAGUCAUACAUGCUAUGUGUUUCCAAUAACCUGCAACAGGGCUGUGCUGUUGGCAACAUUUCUGUUUUCCCAUAUGUAGAGGGUCCAAGUGGGAGUGAGGUCAGUGAAGAUGAGGGAGGGGCAGGAGAAGUUAGCAGAGUAGGCCUAUAUAUUACCUGAGCUGGAUGUGGUACGAUAUGGGAUAUUUAAGCAGACAAAUAGUCAAGUCAUCAUCUAUUUCUGAAUUGGUUAAAAUAAGGUUAGGUUAAAGGUCCAAUGCAGCCAUUUGUAUCUCAAUAUCAAAUCAUUUCUGGCCUGGUGAAAAAGUAUGUACCUUUUACUGUGAUUGUUUUCAAUUAAAAUGGUCAAAAAGAAAUCAAAUCUAGCCAAGAGUGAUUUCUCAAGCAAGAAUUUAGCUAGGACUGUCGGACUGGUCUGAUUGGGAAGGGGAAAACUGAAAAUUUGCUGUUAUCGGCAGAAAGGUUUGGAACUCUAUUUCUUAUUGGUCUGUUAACUAAUUUACUGCCUGGUGAUGUCACUAGUCAGGCCAAAACUCCAUCCCACCAAAGCAGGAUGAAAUUCCAUGCAGUCUUGUCAAACAGCUCUUACAUUAAAAGGGCAUUAUCAUAAUGAUCAUAAUCAUGAUCAUAAUUAUCAUAAACAUAAUCAACAGUGAUUGAUCUGUUGCUCUGCAGAGAGG
rnacentral:lncRNA from 1 species